rnacentral:lncRNA from 1 species
AUGGCUGGGAGCAGAGUGAGCAGAGUGAUGAUACUAUUCAGUUCAAUUGCUGUAAUAAAGAAGCUGAUGAGAAGCUGUGUCCUUGGAGCACUGUCGUGUCCAGGAAAUUUCUACUGGCUGCGGGGGACUGAAGCCCCAUUCCCUGGGAUUGUGAGCUCAGCAGCUUCUAUGAACUCAGCCAUUGUGAGUCUGGGCAGAAUACACAGGGGAGGCCUGUUGGGAAAACCCAAGAGCUGGAAGGAAAUGCUGUUGGCUAGAAUCCAAAAAUGCAAAUGCCGACCAGAAAACUGCUGUUUUCUUCUUAACCCUUGUUAUCUGCGAGCUGUGGGUGCUUGGGGAGUAAAGCCUGGUGACAGCUGGUUGUCACACUGGCAAGAUGGCAUUGUGUUCAGGACAGAGCAAGCUGAAGAAAGCAAAAGCAGCAGAAUGAAGCCAGAGUGGAGUGUCAUGGCAGAAUCUCUCUGCUCUGCAAAGGAGCCAUGUUUCUGAGCAGUUAAAACCAGUUUCCUCCUAGGUUAGCUGUCAGAGUUAAGCUGGGAACUAUAAAAAGGCUUUGGAAGGCUACCAGAAUGGGAGCGACCAGGAUGGGAGCGAUUUGGACUGCUGAGAGGAAGCAAGGUAUGGCAUCUAAGCUUUACUCACACCCACGAUAAAAAUAUGGGCUGAGAGCUGUCUGUGUAGACGAUAGGGGCAUUUUAUGCCAACUCCCAGGUCAGGCAGAAUCCUGCGUGCAUGCAUUCUUUAAUUUUUUUUUUUACUCCACUGAGGUAUAUUGGGAGCUAUCUUGGGAAAUUAUUCUGGUGCCUGUGUGGUUCUGCUGUAAGAGCUGUGUAAGAUGAGCGAGCCCAAGAUAAGUUGGUGCACUUGGGUAUGUACGAAGUGUCUGGGCAUGUGCAGCAAGUCCUAUUCUUGGCCAUUAAAAAGUACUCUUGGCAUAUUCAGCUGUCUCCCCAGCUACUGGCAAGGUGACAGGAAAAUUGGUCAGGCAGAUUUCCAACUGGCUUGGUGGCAACGUUUAUUUAAGACUAAUAUUCCCUGUCAGGUUUAUGUAGAAGCUAGAAAUAUCUACUUCCUGGGCUCUCCUCAUCCGCUUCUCACUGUUUUGCUGCCUAUCUCUCACUGUCCUAUUUUCUGUGCAUUUAAGGCAGCCUUUGGCUAGGGUGAGUGUAAGCUGUGGUUCCAGAAGGCACGUGAAAGCACCUUACUGGGCAUUCAGUGUUCAGACUGGUUCACAUAGCACAUGCUGUGCCUCGGGGUGUCCCAGUCCCACUGGGCUCAGAGACUGCCCAUACUUGGAUGCCAACAAGGAAGAAAUACGAAGCUGAAGUUCUGUAGUUCAGCUUUUGAAGGCGCAGCUCUGCAAUAGCAAAAUUCUGCUUUACAGAGCCUUGUGGCCGUGUAGGUUCGCUGUGUCUCCAGAAAGCCCUGGACAGAGAGCUCACAGCCUGUGUUAACUGUAGGACUGAUGCAGCAGGAGGAUGCACUGAGGCUCUCUUCCUGUAAAAUCAUCAACUUUUUGUUUUCCCUACCUUCAG